rnacentral:rRNA from 1 species
GAGUUUGAUCUUGGCUCAGGAUGAACGCUGGCGGCAGGCCUAACACAUGCAAGUCGAGCGGCAGCGCGGGGGCAACCCUGGCGGCGAGCGGCGGACGGGUGAGGAAUGCAUCGGAAUCUACCUCGUUGUGGGGGAUAACCUCGGGAAACCGGGACUAAUACCGCAUACGACCUACGGGUGAAAGUGGGGGACCGCAAGGCCUCACGCGAUGAGAUGAGCCGAUGCCGGAUUAGCUAGUUGGCGGGGUAAAGGCCCACCAAGGCGACGAUCCGUAGCUGGUCUGAGAGGAUGAUCAGCCACACUGGAACUGAGACACGGCCCAGACUCCUACGGGAGGCAGCAGUGGGGAAUUGUUCGCAAUGGGCGCAAGCCUGACGACGCAACGCCGCGUGGAGGAUGAAGGUCUUCGGAUUGUAAACUCCUGUUGCCCGGGACGAAAAGCUUUGACCUAACACGUCAGAGUCUGACGGUACCGGGUGAGGAAGCCCCGGCUAACUCUGUGCCAGCCGCCGCUGU